rnacentral:lncRNA from 1 species
AAAAAAAAAGAGAGAGAGAGAGAAAGAGAACGGAAGGGGUGAAGGAGGAGUAUAGCGAGGAAGACUGGCCCCGGGACAUUUGCAAAUCCUAGGGUGCCACUGAAAGGUGGGGAGUCAGACAAAGCCAGAGCGACAGAAAAGCGGAUCUACUCCCAGCAGCAACAACAGGAGCUGUCUGGAGCUGGAUAUAUACAUAGAUGCGUACGUACGUGCACACACAGGAGGAAUUCAAGCUGAAGCUAAUGGGAGGGAGAAAGGGUUUGGGCUGUGCAAAAAGCUAUGCGUUUCAGGCAUGAGACUAAAAACUGAAAGAAGAGGCUGUGCUCCCGGGAAUGUGUCAUCUUGGAAGGGAGGGAGGCAGGAAGGAAGGAAGAAAAGGGGGAAGAUAACUGGCAUGUGGAAGACGAUGGGAUUCUAACUCACUGCUGUGCAGAAGGGAAAUCCAACUUGUAGAUCUGAAAUACACCAGGCAGAGAUUGCAAAUGCGAUCGGAGCUGCGUUGAAGCAGAGAAAGAGAAGAAAAGGGAGGCAGAGGCUGGAGAGCUUUUAUCCUUCUCCCUCUCUCUCCUCAAAGAAGAAAUAGAAGUUUAUCUGUCUUGGUGCUGCUGGAUCUUUAUAGCUGCUGGACAAAAGAUGGAGAGGAAGCUGAAAUGAAAAGCAAAGGGAAACCAGUGCUUGCGAAACUCACGGCUAAGAAGACAAAUCACGCCUCCCCAGGCUUCUUUUGUGCCCCAUCGGGGGAGUUUUAACAUCAGAAAGAUUUUGAGAAGUGUGGGGAGCAAAGGGGAGAGUGGGCGUUAAAAACACCCAUCCUGAGUGUUUAAAAAAUAACGAGGGGAUGGAUUUAUUCUUGACAGCUGGUGGGAACCUUGAAUUUUUCUCUACUCCCUCCCUCCUUCCUUCCAUUUAAUGUGAGAUUAUGAAAAUGCAGAGGAGUUGGAGGGAAGGCAAAAGGAUAUAAUGUGGAGUUUGAAGCGAGGAAGAGAGUGCUGAUGCUGUGGAUUGCUGGCUUCUUGCUGAAAUCAAAAAUCCAAUUGCGCACUGGGUUGUGAUUGGAAAUCUAAUCAGAUCUUUGGGGAGAAGGGAGAGACACUAAAAGUUAUCGUAUUGACAUAUAGAAAUAAAAAUUUAAAUGCAAACGGAGAUUCUAUCCUGAAGGAGUGUGGGGGAUAGGGAAAGAGAAGAAUGGGAAUCCCCAUUCUAAUGUGGAGACACACGGAUUGGAUAAUUGAUAGUGCAGCAAAGAAGGGGGAAGAAGAAAAUUGCCUGGCAAGACCUGGAUCUUAACAGUCACAACAAAAUUGCAUUAAAAGAAUACAGAUGGAGGGCUGCUUAAACAGAAAUACAGCUCUUUCUGCUCUCCAGAGAAAAAACAAAUAGUGAGCAAUGGAGAGCAGAGAAGCUAGAGUGGCAGAAAACCUCAGAAAAAGGGAAGUAGGCAAAGGAUCCACUGUGGAAUGAAAAGUUUCAGAAAGAAGAAAGACCAUUCAUCCUCUGCAAUAAUUUUUCUUUUUUUUUCUUGGUGUUUUAAACCCCUCUUCUCCAGUGAAGCAAACAUCAUUGUUACCACUACAGCAAUUUUAAGCAGAAAAGUUGAACACAACAGAGAAAAUAAAGGACAGAGAAGAAAAAAGCAAAAUUGCUGGAGGGAGAGAGUUCAGCAGUGCUGGGUUGGAUUGGUACCUGUAUGGACUGAAAUUGCUUGGGAAUUGCAGUUGGAUAUCUUUUAUUCUUGUUUCCUUCCUUGUUUUUAAUUUUGGUUUGGUUGCUGAAAUGAAAUAGUUUUCAUAACCCAUCCCCCACCCUGUUUUUUCAUAACCACUCGGAUUUCCAGCUGGAUAGUCUUUGAGGAUAUAGGUGAAUGCUGUGAGGUGGUCAAGUCAACUCUGUGGAACAUUCUCCAAUGGGCUAGUAGGAUGAGAAGAUCCAAGAGUAGUUUGGGAAACAAGGAGAAACAUCACCUCUCAUGACGGUAAACCUACCGAAAAGCCAUUUAAGUUACUGCAUCUGCAUCAAAACACCAGCAGUUCAUAUGGCAUCAUUAUAUAUUGGUUGAAAAAUACUGAGUGAAGCAUUAGGAAUAUGGGAAUUAUCUUGGCUCACAGGUCAGUAUGUGAAGUACCUAUUUUAUAUUUUCAAUCUCUAUUGCACUCCCACAACACCAUUGCCCUUAGUUCUAAAGAAUUCUAACAUCUAAAUAUAUGUUAACUAGACUGUGUUUUUAGAUUUCCCUUUAAUUACUGGUGAAUGUGUAACUUUAUUAUGUUCUUUGUCUGAAGAGGAGAAGAUGGACUUUUAGCAUUCAUUUCUCCUGAAUUGAAGCAAAACUUGAAACUUUAAUUAUGGAUCAAUUCUCCUGCCAUCAGAAAUACUUUCCCUUAAUAAUCCAGUCAGAGGUACUUCAGUACACUUUAACUUGAGAUAUUAGCUACAGAUUUUUCUAUAGCUUAAAAGUGUAUAUUUGGUUUGAAAAAAAACCUAACAACAACAACAGCAACAAAAAACACCUUUAUAACAUAAAAUUAAAAAAAUAAAAGUAAAUUUACAUGUACUUUUUGCUAAGUCUACAUUUCACUGCACCUUAUCUGAACAGUAUAAAUUUCAAUUUUUAUUACUAUUGGAUAAUCACACAAGUCAAUUUUUGUUUUAGAAUUCUUUUCCUUCUUAUGUAUCAUUAUAAAAACAACUGGCCUGUAGCAUCGACAUCAUUUUUAUACAGUUUUUCUCUGCUUUCAUGAUGCCCUCAUGCUAGUCUCAAAGCUCAGUCUUAAAACAAAGUCUUCAUGACAAAGAGUAAGUAAUUAAAGCUUUCAUUUGUUAUAGACCUUUUUGGUGUUUGAUGAGGAAAAAAUGGAACAAAUCUUUCAUUUGAUAUUGUACAGUUGUCCACAGAGUUGCUCAAGUAAUAGAGUACGUAUAGGUAUGCAUGAGUCUUCCUUACAUUUCUACAUGCUAUGCUUAUGCUCUGCGAAGCUACAUACAGCGCUCAUCUUUUUUCAUAGCAUGUUUAAGCUUAACUCUACGAAACUGAUUGUUAGCAUUGCUGAGAUACAACAGGUACAAAUAAUGUAUGUAGGCAAAUAUAGAGCAAAAAAGAAAUCUCCAGUAUUCUUUGUUAACUUGUGUUUAAGAUUCAUCUGUAUCUUUAAACAGAAAGGCGCUAUUUCUGCUUAUUGCAUAAGAGAAUGUGCUAUUUGUAAGGGGUAUGGCAUUUGCCCAAAGGGACAAAUGACAAGCAGCAAUGUAAUAGAAAUAUGAAGAAGCAAUCAUCCCAAUUUCCCUUUUGAAAUGCUCUUAAUCAUUUCAUUGGUAAAUGGCACAUGUUAUCCUUGAGUGAACUGGCCAGACAAAUAGGGAAGAUAAAGUGAUUCAUUUAUUUUCUACAGUUCAAAACAAUUGAACAUUUAGUACCUGAUUGUGAAAGGAACCUUAAGGCAGACUUAAUAUUAUCUAGAUGAUGACAUUUGUUAAACAAAAAAAAGUAGGCUUGAACUUUGAAUACUGAUCCUCAAUUUAUUAGUUCUUGGUGGUAUGGCUUUGACAGGUCAUAAUUCAUCACCAAAGGAGUAAAAAAAAAAAUUGGAACUUAAAUACUGUGUGCUAUUUAGUAUCUUUAUUCCAGAGAAAAGACUGUCAUGGGUAUCAAGCACUGAAUUGCUCAGAACUGUCAUCUACACCUCACAGAAACAUCCGUUUGUUGAUAUUUUGUGGCACAAAUCCAGUAGUCAUUCUAAAGAACAGAGACAUAAAAAGUUGUGAAAAGUUGUGUAGGUGAUAAUUUUUUUUUAUUUAUUUUUUGCCAAGCUGUUAAGUUAAAAAAUGUUUGAGAAAUAAUUAAUUGGAUAUUUUUAUAUGAAUAUAAUUAAUAUGUAUGAAUCUACAUGUAUUUAUAUAAGGAAUAAUCAGUACAUAUUUAAAAAUUAAUCUUUUUUUGAGACAAGUAUUUCAUUAACUGUGAAGAAGCAUAUGCGGCUAUCCUUUUUUACUGUUUAAGUGUAAGUCAAUUAAUUAUCAAUUGUCUGUUACCAGCACUUGGAUAGAAAUUCAAGAUGAGGAGUUUGAUAAACUAAAUGGAUGCAGUGAGACAGAUCUUGUGCCAGUGAAGGUAUACUGAUUUGUAUAAGCUGUGGAUCUGGUCUGUAAAUUUUACUUUUGAUAGCAGAUAGUAUUACAGCACAGUCAUGACUUUCUACAGGCAAUCUUCAUGCUGUAAGAUGGAAGGUCUUCACAAGGCCUCUCCCUGGACAGUUCAUACAAAAGUCUGGGAGAAAGGAAAGAGUGAAUGCCCAAACUAAUCAGUAGUGAUCCCUUUGGAGUCUGUGUCCACCUAUAAAACUUAUGUCCACAGUAUAUAGAGUGAAAUUAAGAGAAAGCUGUAAGUCAGCUAUUAUUCCUUGCAGUUUGAAGGAGAAUUACAGCAAAUCUGUGUCCAAAAUCCUUGAAUCAAUAAUAUGAAAAAAGAAUUUCAAGAAGACUGUAAUAGCCUCAUACCAACUUUGAGGUGUACUGUCUGCUGUGACUGUGUUGUGUGUUCAGCUAUCUCUAAUGAAAUUAUUCCUCUCACUCCCUAGUAUGUUCUUACUUUGCCUUUCAGUAAAAAUUGGGAGAUAAGAAUAGUGAAGUGCAAUUGAAUUUAGUCUAGUGAGUGCCUUUCUCACUCAUAAGUACUGCUUGUUAAAUUUCAUUUUGAAAAAUGAAGCUGUAUUUAGUGUAAAUGUGAGGGAUCCUAGUGAGAAGAAAAGCACCCCAAACCAUUAAGAGGAAAAAAAAAAUCUGCUCUUUUUGCUGCUGUAUAAUUUUAAAGCUAUUUAGCAAUUUGUGCUAUAUUUAAGUAAAAAAAGAUUGCUGACAACUUGGACACCAGACUGAAAGUAAAAUGAAAUUUUUAAAGGAGGAUUUUGUACCCUUUAAGAAGGAAAAUGAAGUUUGCAAGUUCCUAGCAGACCCUUAAUUAAAUUGGAAUGUUGCUAUGCUACCUUAAUACAUUAGGGAGAAACUAUUGAGGCUGUUUGCUGACUGCAGUAUACUGCAGGUUACAUUGUUAAGCUCCUUUGUGGAGCAAAAGCAAGCUCUACCCCCAUAAAUAACUUCAAUGAUUGAUGGUAGAAUACAGCUUUGCUCUCUUGUACUUGUUACCUACAUAGAGGACUUUACAUCCCAGUACUUGCCACCAUCUACAGUCUAAACAGCAGAUAUCAAAUUUUUAUAGUUCUCACCAAAUGAUGGCUACUCUCUUGCAGCAUUUGCCUUCACUUUUAAGAGGAGAGAGAUAAUUAAUAGCUAACUCUUUCCCAAGAAAUCUGUCAUGUCCUAGCUUACUCAAGACAGGUGUCGAGGAUGAGAGAUUUUCUAGUGCAUCCUUCUGCACGUACUGUUAGAUAGAUUGUCAAUAUGCAUAAGUUACUAUUGACUGAAGGUCAUAGAAUGGUGGUCUCCUCACGCUGGAUACCUAGCUUUCUGUCUAAGCUGAAAACAAACGUCUAUUGUAUAUACUGAGCAAAACGGAGAGCUUCAAGAAGCUGCUGUAAGAAUUCCAUAAAAGCAGAUUGUUCUUCCAAGUUAAUCCCACAGCAGUGCUCUGGUGCUGUACUAACACAAAUGCUCCUCUUUAAUAUGAUGCAAGUGAAUGAGUCAAACUGUCUUUCCAAAAAAACAGUUUCCAAAACAGUUGGAAAGUUUACCAUUGUGCAGUAGGUCAAAUUUGAACACAGAUACAUAGUUCCUAUUGUGCCUUCAGUCUGAAUUGAAGAUAGCAGUCUUCACAUGGUAUACUGCAAAAAAGCCUCUAUGUUUCUCUCCAGAAAUUUAAGUGGAGAAUAAGGUAAUUCUGAUAUACUACAUAUGCUGUCUGCCAGAUUAGAAUUUAAAGCUCAGAAGCAAACUUCUAGAUAAAAGUAUUAAUGUAGUAUAAGUAUAGAUACUUCUAGAUAAAAGUACAACUGUAGUAUAAGGGUAAGCCAUUACCAUCUAUUAGUCACUGUAAAGCCUCCUAAAUUCCAUGUACACCAGACAUAACAUAUAAAUGUUGAAGAUAAGGACCUCUCUUGAUUCAUCACAGGCAAUGCUUGCUGUUUUCAGUUCACAGCUACCAUUGCAACUCUGUAUUUUAUGAUGGGAAGGAACAAAAAGAGAUGAAAGGAAAUGACUUGUUAUUUCAAAAAAGAAAAGGCUUUUUUUCAUUCCUG